AACGAACGCUGGCGGCAUGCCUAACACAUGCAAGUCGAACGAUGGUCUUCGGAUCAUAGUGGCGCACGGGUGCGUAACGCGUGGGAAUCUGCCCUUGGGUUCGGAAUAACAGUUGGAAACGACUGCUAAUACCGGAUGAUGUCGAUAAGACCAAAGAUUUAUCGCCCGAGGAUGAGCCCGCGUCGGAUUAGCUAGUUGGUGGGGUAAAGGCCUACCAAGGCGACGAUCCGUAGCUGGUCUGAGAGGAUGAUCAGCCACACUGGGACUGUGACACGGCCCAGACUCCUACGGGAGGCAGCAGUGGGGAAUAUUGGACAAUGGGCGCAAGCCUGAUCCAGCAAUGCCGCGUGAGUGAUGAAGGCCUUAGGGUUGUAAAGCUCUUUUACCCGGGAAGAUAAUGACUGUACCGGGAGAAUAAGCCCCGGCUAACUCCGU
rnacentral:rRNA from 1 species